rnacentral:tRNA from 1 species
AUUAAUCUGGCAGAUAAGUGUAUUAGAUUUAGAAUCUAACAAUGAAGUUUUAGUUCUUCGAUUAAUA